ACUCAUUGGACCCGGGGGCGGUACCCGGCGCCUCCACCAAAAUAUACUCAACAAAGUUUAUACUUUGGUGGGGGCGAAAUAGGAUCGACAAGGGUGUAAAGAUUGCUCUUUUACUCGGCAUUGUACCACCGUCAUCGGACUAAAUUAGUAGUUGCAAACGACAACUAUGCGGAAGCACGUCUCGCUGCUUAAAGCAGUGCUAAGGCUUCAAAUUAAGCCUUAAACCGUCGCAGGUUUAAGCGGGGUUCGGAGG
rnacentral:tmRNA from 1 species